rnacentral:lncRNA from 1 species
CUACUGUGACUGAAGCAGCAAAGGGAAGAUGGUAAGUUAUCCACAGGCACUUAAAGCCCCUGCCUGGAAGUGCUACAUGUCACUUCUCACAUUUCAUAGUCAAAGCAAAUCACAAAGCCACUUCAAGGGGCAGGGAAAAACACAGGACCUUUCAAGGAGAGGGAAAUGCAAUUUCCCUUCUGCCCAAGGGGAAAAAUUAGAGAUAUUUAGGGCAUGGCAUUAAUGACCAGACAUAUAGGACCACAAUGUGAAAAACAGUUCAUACACAUACCACAGUGUGGUCCUAUGUGUCUGGGCCUCCUGAAAAUAUAGAACAAUUUUGUUGGAUAGCCUGCCUGACUCUGAGCAAGGAGAUAUUCUUAUGUCCCCUAUAUCUAUUUUGACUGUUUAUGAUAUUAUAUUUGCAUAAAGCCCUGAGGAAAUGAGACACUGUGUUGGUGAGGUUUGAUGGGGCAUGAUAGAUAAAAAGGAGUAGUGUGGGGUGUGCGAUGGGGGAAUCCUGUGAACAUCCUCAGCUCUGGGGAGGUUGUAAGUUCCCAAAGUGCUGAGGAUUGUAGUGCAUUAUUUUCCUGAUCUCUUCCUGUUCUUCCUGCUUUAUUUAGAGAGUUAGGUAUUCGGCAAGUUUCUUGUAUUUCCUUCUCCCCUCCAUUUUCAUUCUCUUCUUCUAAUACUGCCUAGAAUAAGUGGUUCUUCACUCUGCUUCACACUGCUGCCUUGUUUUUCCACAAGCAGAACCCUGAGAAAGGCUCUGCUUAUAUUUCUUCUUCUUUUAAUGUUGCGCCCUGUGACAUGAGCAUUUGGGUUCACAUGCUAUGGUAUGGAUUCUUAAAGGAAUAUGCUCAUACACUCUACCUGACCCAAUUUCACUUUAACUUUUUGAAGGGUGGCUUUGAAAUCAGAAUUGGAUGCAGAGGGAGUCCCAGAGGCCAACACUGUGAACAUAAGAAGGGAAAGACCAGUUCUGCAAGCACAGAUGAAAUUUUGAGAAGCAGAGCUACAGUUCUGCCGGAGGCCUCUCCAGAUUGUGAUGCACUGGGAGCAAGCCACCGUGAACAUAUCCUCAGGUCUCCAGUCUUCUGCCAUCGCAUGAAAAAUGGAGCUUGUCAAACACGGAGCAGAGCUGAACUUUCUGAAUUCCACGGGACAGUUCAGAGUGCUUGGAAUGACACCCACCCGCAAUUAAAACAAAAAAGAAGGAUGAUUUGCUGCUACAUUUGUGUGGGAAGUGCUGCUUGCCGAUAG